UUCAAUGUUAUGCAAGUCAAACAAAAAAUGUUUCUAACAUGCUGAGCUUCUAUAACACCCUCACGUUGCAGGCGAGGUCUGGAGAGAGGAGGUAACUUGCCCAUGGCCACGUGACUAGAGACAAGUCCUGAGCUGGGAACCCAUGUCUCCUGACUCCCAGGCCAGUGCUCCACUCAGCACACCUCUCUGUUGUUUGCGCUGCUGUCCAGUCCUUACGGCAGGGGGUGAACCACCUCUGACUUCAGUGGGGUAAGAGGAAACAUUGGAUUCACGCUAGACGUGGAAUACCAUUGUGUUUAUUGAUCAAGCCUGGCUUCGAGUGUGACAGAGCCAUUCUUGGUUCUCCUUGGAAGUAACAAGAACACUGGGUAACAUGUGAAGUGCAUGGAGACUCACCUGAAUCCCACCAAAGUAGUAGCUGGACCCAGUAGCCUAGCUUAUUGUCUUGGCAGUGCCCCCUACCCAGUACCAUUAGACCUGGCUUUGUCCCUUACAUAGGACAGACUGGGCUUCUCCACUCCCGCCAGGCUGAGGAUUGAGGCAGGAGGGGACUUAAUGGCUGAGUCCCUGGCUUGUUCCAG
rnacentral:lncRNA from 10 species